GCGGCCAUGGGUUAGCCUGUGGCCACGCCUGUCCGAGGGUCGGCUUAUAAACUAUCACGACGCCCAAAAAGUCGUGGCUUGGGUUUUGCCAGCUGGCGUGAUCUCCUCUAUGAGUAAUCAUGUGAGGUGCCAGAUCUAUGGCGUUUCCCUAAUGUAUCCGGAUGCACCCUUGUCUUGGCAGAAAGCCGUGGUGAGGUGCAGUGGCGGAAUCGUGGUUUAAUAAUCGGGUUGGUACUCAGUUGUCAGUGUGUUCGGCGAUCCCCUAGUCGGCACACUCAUGAUUUCUGGGAUAAUUCCAUACCAGGCACGUUCCGUUACUGUUACUUUGUCAUUGGUUUGAUGCUGAACUUGGUCAUGUGUCUGAUGCUAUUUCAUAUAACGACGGUACCCUUCGUGGUCUGUCUUCCUGACCUCGGUUCAGACGUGAUUACCCGCUGAACUUAAGCAUAUCACUAAGCGGAGGAAAAGAAA
rnacentral:rRNA from 1 species